AUGUGUCAUCACUGGUACAGACAGGACACAGUGUCUGGUACCAAUAUCACCUGGCAGAUCAAUGGACAGGCCAAGAUGGAUGGCAUCGAUCUGAAAGAUAUUGAAUCAAAGGGCAACCUGAACAUCAGGGUCAGUACUCUGACCAUAGACCAGACAGAGUGGACCAAUGGGAACAAAGUCCAGUGUUCUGCCAAGAAGAGUGGCAAAGUCACACCGGUCAUUCAGGACCUCAGCUUCACCAAAGGAAGUGAAGUCCCUUCAAUGUCCAUCCACGUUCUCCCGGAGGAAGACACAAAGAAGGAGGGGAAUGUGACUCUGGUGUGUCUGGUGGUCAGCCCAUCUCUAUGUGACGUCUACAUCAUGUGGCAGGUGGACAGCGGUGAUUACCAGGAGAGUGUCACCAGCCCUCAUCAGACAACCCCGGAAGGCAACUACUCCGUCACCAGCGUCUUCACCACCACCAAGGAUAAGUGGAAGAGAAAUGUGCUUUUCACAUGCGUGGUCAAGCACGCCGGCUUGGACAACAACACCGCACCUAAGGAGAGGAGUGUGUCGAAGACCAUGGGUAACUCAUGUGAAGACAAUUGAUUUUAAUCUGUGUGUGUUGUGUCCUUGUGUCUCCUUAUUGACUCCCCUGGGUCAGAAUAGCCAAUUACUAGGCGUGUCCCCUGUUGUCCUCUAUUCAUUGUUGUCCUUGAGUUGAAGUUAACAUGUUAGUGUUGUAAUUGUUGAGUUAAAGUUAACAUGUUACUGUUGUCAUUAUUUUGUUGACUGUAGACAUGUAUAUUGUCUAAUGUGUCUAAUGUCCAGUCUGCUGUUAUGUAAGAUGUCAGUCCUAUUGUGUUGUCAUUGUUGCCAGUGUUGUCAUUUGCCAUUGUUCAAUGUGUCUUCCUAAUGCGGAGGCUGGCUAAUAAACAAUACCGCAUAUGAGAUCACAUGGUUUGGUGUUCAUAUAUCAAUUACUUCAAGUCUUAGAAAAUAUACUGGUCUACUGUACAUAUAAAAACAGAAUGAAGACAAUUGUUUGGCAUGAAAAGACAACAGUACUGAAUAGCCUACAUAGUAGUACUAUGCUUCCAGUCAGGUGGUCAUGGAUGUACUAUUUAGUGUAUAGGUGUAGCUUGAUAUAAUGUGAGUGGGUGUGCAUGUUAAUAUUAGGCCAAGAUAUAAGUCUGCACAGGUCAGUUUCAUGUGAUCUUUGUGUGUUGAUGAGUGUGUCUGUGUGUGUCCAUAUCAUUUGAACUCAUGUAGCUGUUUUUGUUAGAAUAUGAUAAAGGUUAAAAUAUAGACUGGCAGAUUUAAUACGAGGGUAUUUUCAUCUAUGUCUGGUGAACAGUUUAGAAAUUACAGAACUUUUUGUAGAUACUGUAGUCCCUCAAUUUUAGGGGACCAAAAGUAUAUGGACAAAUCCACUUAUUAUACAGUGUGUGUUAAAGUAGUCAAAAGUUUAGUAUUUGGUCCCAAAUUCCGAGCACACAAUAAUUACAUUUAGCUUGUGACUCUACAAAUUAGUUUGAUGCUUUUGUUGUUUGUAUUGAUUGUGUUUCAGAUAGUUUUUGUGCCCAAUAAAAUACAUUGUAUAUAAUGUAUUGUCAUUUUGGAGUCACUUUUAUUGCAAAUUGAAUAUAAUACAUUUCUAAAUAUGUCUACAUUAAUGUGGACUCUA
rnacentral:lncRNA from 8 species